GAUGAACGCUGGCGGCGUGCCUAAUACAUGCAAGUCGAGCGAACAGACGAGGAGCUUGCUCCUCUGACGUUAGCGGCGGACGGGUGAGUAACACGUGGAUACCCUACCUAUAAGACUGGGAUAACUUCGGGACACCGGAGCUAAUACCGGAUAAUAUAUUGAACCGCAUGGUUCAAUAGUGAAAGACGGUUUUGCUGUCACUUAUAGAUGGAUCCGCGCCGCAUUAGCUAGUUGGUAAGGUAACGGCUUACCAAGGCAACGAUGCGUAGACGACCGGAGAGGGUGGUAGGCCACACGGGAGGGGAGCCAGGCUCCAGACUCCUACGGGAGGCAGCAGUAGGGAAUCUUCCGCAAAGGGCGAAAGCCUGACGGAGCAACGCCGCGUGAGUGAUGAAGGUCUUCGGAUCGUGAAACUCUGUUAUUAGGGAAGAACAAAUGUGUAAGUAACUAUGCACGUCUUGACGGUACCUAAUCAGAAAGCCACGGCUAACUACGUG
rnacentral:rRNA from 1 species